rnacentral:snoRNA from 1 species
UGAUCAACAAGGACUCCCACAUAUGCAUUCCUUGGAAAUCGGAACAAAAUGAGUGAGUAAAAACAAAAAGAAUUACAAUGUCUUUUCUCCUUUACUUGAUCA